CUCCCCUCCCCUCCUCUCCCCGCCCGCCCUUCUCUCGGCGCAGACGCCGGGAGAACGACGGCGGGCCCCGCGGGUGCCCUUGGGGAAACCGUAACUUCCCGGAGAAAGCGGUGAGGAGAGCUGGUAGACGCUGGCGACAGGCUAACCCGCCCGGCGGGUGGUGAGAGGAAAAGGAAGCCUUCCAGAAGUCUGCUGGACUAAUUGAUAACCAUGGUAUCAACAGAAGUACUCAAAGAAAACAAGGCUGUUGCAGAGAAGUUCAUAAACUAUUCGAGCCAGUGUUCACCAGUAGAUAUCCUGGAAAUGGAAGAGAUUUUGAAGAGAGAAUGGAUGAAACCGAUAAAAUGAACCAUAAGAAACCACUAGGACCAAAUGGAAAUUGCUAACAGGUCACCCCGAAGAAGUGAUACUGCAUGAACAUGCAGGAAUGAACCUGCUCUCAAAGCCUGAAAACACCCUCCUUGCCAAUGAACUCUUUAGCAGACACAUCCUGACCAAGGGAAGAAGACACAUCCACAUGGCAGUUUGUGUGCAGGCAUGACAGCAGAUAAAACCCAAAAUGUUCUGUGGCCUGCCAAGUGGUAGACUCUUGACUAGAGGACAGUGUGCCCAGGUGAGCCUCGCAGUGCCUUAAACUGUCAGACGGGCUUAGGAAUACAGUGUCCCAUGUGCUCAGGAGGGUGGGAGCUGACAGGGUCUGGAGUUGUCCUGAAGAGAUGCAGUGCCCAUGCAGCCCUUGUACAGACAUGUCCUUAGAGCUAAGUACAAUUCUUGACGCUCUGAAUUAUUGGGGACAGUCUGUUUUGUGCCAGACAAGAGAGACAUGGCUGACAGUUGUGAACUUCUGUGCCUCAUUUGCCAACAACCGAAGCGCUCGGCUGGUAGUGCUGUACGCUUGUGCCUGCCCAGCCUGACUGUGUUGCGUUUCUGUGCUGGGAAGAGUUCUGGCCAAGUAUUACCUUAUUCUGCUCCCCGUGGUGCAAGAAGGAAAUCGGGGCCCGUGAGCUAAGUGGGAUCUGCAGCACACUUUGACCAAGUUCCUGAUGUAGGUGACUGGACCAGGUGUCCAGGGCUUGGCAAUUUGCUCAUAACGUUCAAAGCUUCAGCACCCUUCAUCAUCAAACCUGUCUAAUCCUUCCUUGGCUGGAGAGCACCUCUCCCUUCCCUUCUCCCACACACCUCAAACGAGCUCCACUGACAGGCCUGGGAAGUCAGACGUGGUGGCUGAGGGUAGCGUGCGUUUCCAUGUUUGCAUCCUUUCACAAGAAAAAGGAGGUCUUAGUCGGGCUGGGUCUACCUCUGCUGAUGGGGGCCUUCCUGCAGCGUUGGGAAAGCGAGGCAAAGAGAUGGGAAGUGCCUCCCACUUUCCUCUUGCCCUGCGGAACUCCUAUUUCUCCGUGCGGGGAAGGUGUCCCGCCUCCUGGCUUCGUUCACUGCUGCCCCGUACCUCCUAGCCAGGAGCCUGGCGGUACCCGGACACCGGCAGCCUCACGCUUUGGACGCGCAGGCCUUCCAACGCCAAAGCCCCAGCUACCUCCUGGCCGGCAGGUUUGAGAAGGAGCGGGUUUCUCUGUUGGCUACCUUUCUUUGCCUGGUGAGGCUAAAGCACCGGCUGUGUCUUGGUCCAGUCCGAGUACCGGGUCAAUUAAAUGUGGAAUCGGUGAAAUCUCGAGUUAAACGAAGCGAAUAAAGCCCAUGAUCUGAAACACUGGA